GGGAUGGGCGCUCGGGGGUGA
rnacentral:miRNA from 1 species